AGGCCUCCUGCCCUCGAGCGCCUAUUGACGCACGCCCUAGAUCAGAUCCCGCGGACGACUGCCCCUCCUCAUCGUCCCCCCGCCGCCCCUCUCCUUCGAUCUGAUCUCCUUGGCGCCCCGCCGUCGCCGGCGACUCCUCGGCUCCUCGCAGUCGCCGUCACAUCAGACGCCGGCCACUCCUCCGCGGCCUCACGUUGUCGUCCUCUCCUUCGCAAGGAACACCCGACCCUUCCUCCGCGGCCUUGUGACGCCGACCACUCCUUCGUGGCCUCACGCUGCCCUCCUCUCCCUCCUUCCUUCGUCCAAGGCCAGGACUUCCCCUCCCUGACCCGAUCUGACGGAGAGAGGGCCAAGCCUUGCCACUCCAGUGGUCACUUUGGCCAAAUCCGGUCGGGGGAGCCACCGUAGAGCCUCAACGUCGGCGCAGCAGCAGCAGUCCUUGCGACGGUGGGUGCCGGAGCUCGUCAAGCAACUCGCCGUCGGCGGCCACGACCACCUCAUUCCCUGCCGUGUGUCUCCGUCAACUACUGUGGCAUUGACGACAGCGAGCUAGGAGCCUACGAGGUAGACGCCCUGCUGACUAUGUCGUCAAGGCCUCCACAUGGCUCCUCUUGCGGCAGACUGCUGGUUGUUUGCCAUGUCCUUGAUCACCCUAAUUUAAUCCAAGUCAGGGUAGUCUCUUGCAUUAAGCCAUCUGGCUCUGCUCUGCAAUUUCUCGAGAGAACGUUGUGGAGAACCUAACUCAUGGAUGCUUGGUUCAGUUUUUGGGAUGAAUUGAUGACAAGGAGAGCACGUUGGAAAUAGUGGAAGUGAAAACGGGAGAGGAUGAUGGGAACGAUCAAGUACAUCACAAUCAUCGGCUUCAUGUGGCACUCCUACACCAACGCAAUUCAGGUUUGAUAAUUGAUGAGGGUGGGUGCCAUGGUCGUCUAUGCUGGGCUUCUGCAUGAUCACAUCUUCUACAUGUUCGGUGCUGGAGUGGCUGAUCUUGUGGAAGGGUUACGUUUUCCUCUUCUCAUGGAUUUUGACCAUUGUUUUAGAGGGAUUCGGAUAAUGGUUCUGGUAGUUACUACAUUCAUAUUCUUUGGCAUCCUCAAGCUGUUGGCUGGAUCUAUUGCAAUUAUUGUGAUUUAAAUUAUGAUGGCCUGCAGCAUGCCUCCCUAUAUUUAAGGCAAAUGAUAAUGGAAGUACACCUUCAUGAACAAGCUAGCCGAGGUCUUGGAAUUCCAACCUAGGUAAACAAGUGAACUCAUUUAACGGUCUCCCCUUUUCUGGUGAUGCAGGUAUAGCUCAUUCAUUAAGGGCUACUCAGCUCUGUCUUUUUCUCUCUCUUUGGUGAUUGGAUUAUAUGCUACUCUGUGUUGAAGGAUCUGUUCAUGCUAAAUUUAACAAAUCUUAUCAUGUUUUCAUAAAUUAUCUAUUUGAUUACUCUACGUGGAAUGGUAAACAUUUGUAGCAUGAUCAGGGUUUGAUUAUUUUUAUCAGUGCACAUACCUUCAAAAAAUAAACCAAUGGGGCUAUCUUGUUCGUCUUUCUACUUAUGUAUGUAUACAUAUGGGAUGCUUUGUUAGUUCUGUUGUGCAAAUAACCAUUCUUUGUGUUGAUGAGCUAUGAUAAUGGCUCCCCAAAUUACAAUACUUGCUAAAUGUACACUUUGUUGCAAUGAAAUCCUAUUUAUAAACAGUAUAUUUUCCUAAUGGAUUGUGAUUAAACUUUGUUGCUUUUACCCACUUUGGUGCUUCUUCAGUGUAUAUGUACUAAAUCGUAAAAUAAGAUGAUUGUAUAUUUUGCUUUAUAGUACACCGGUUCAUGAGAAGAAUGCUGAGAAGAUUCAGCUUGCUGUGCUAAAUGUCAUUCUGGCUUGACUCGAUAAUAUCGUGGUAACAUGGUGGAAUAUUUUAUUUUUUAUUGUAACAAACUGUAGUCAAAUUCAUCAUAUAUAUAUAUACUUCCAGGAUCGGAGGAACAAGUAGUUUUAGCCUUCUGUUUUCGAAUUCUUAGUUUUAACAUCUCUGUACUUGUUGAAGCUGUAUCUUCAACUCUACAUGAGCAUAGUGAUAUGCAGUAUAAAACAUCUCCAUUUUUUCCUUCUUUGGUGAGCAUGGAAUAUCCAAAUUGACAUCUAGAGAUAGAUAAGUUGGUAGGGUAAUGUUCACUAGCUUUUUUUAGGAUCAAGAUUGAUGUGUUAAUUUUCUUAUCAAAGGAUGAUUAACGGAAUCGUGGUAUUGCGGCCAAAAUAUACUCUCUUCAGUUUGUUGGUAAUGAGCAAAAUGUAGUCCUGCUGUUAAUGGGCUUUGGAUUUGUGCGUGAAAUACAUUGUUGCAUGCAUGUUUCCUAAGUGAAAAAUGUAAUGGUUCUGAAUAUAGCUGGAGAUGAAUUAUUUGCAGCAUCCAGGCAACAACAGUGGCAUGGAUACAGUUAACAGUACUAGCAAUUGAUGAUAUUGUCAUAGCAAUUUUAAUUUGGAAAAAAUAUGUGAGAGAUUAGUCUUUUCUUUUCUUUCAUGCAAUGAAGAGAGUACAAAGUAUACUACAAUUUUUUGUAACCCACACAAUGAUUCAAGAAGCAGGGCCAAACAGGACCAAUGAAGACGCAUACAGUACUGUUCUUCAUGAUAUGAUGUUAAUUUUUCCCCACAAAUGAAUUUAAUAUUAAAUUCUUUGUGAGACAACUACUAAAAUGAAGUAGUUUAUGGGUUUGAAAAUUCCAUGUAUUGUGCAUAUUUUUAUGUGCGUACUUGACUCAGAUGCAAGCUAUUCGCAGUACGUAUAUUCUGAAAGAAAACAUGACGUAGCUGCUAAAUGCUCUCUGAAACAUAGCAUGUUUUUUAAAAUACUCUAUUUGCUUUGAAUGAGGUUGCCUUUUGCUUUAAACAAUUAACUGCAUUCUGAAAUACUUUUAAAUUUGGCUAAGAUUAAGAGAUCUAGCAAAUGAGUCCAAGUCUCAAAACCAGGUGCAUCUUGAGUAUUUCUCCUCCACGGCGGGUUGUCCAUCUCCAUAUAUAGUGGAGUGUUGCUCUUUCAAAAACAUCUGGUCUAUUUGAAUGGCACAUUACUGUUCCUAGUCUCCAAGAACCAGGUACAUCUCUCUUGCCUUAGCCUCUUCUGAUUAUCCUUCCUGUUAUUAUGUAGGAAGCAGAUUACCAACCUUCCAAGCUCUAUAUUCAGCCUUCCUUUCUCAUUGCUCAUACAAGUUCAAUAUAUGAACAUUCUUGUUACACUUAGUCCUUCUAGUUUCUUGAGAUAACCAUGUCUCAAUUUUUUGAACAGCUACAGUACCUGUACAGUAAGAAUCGAACUGCAAAGGAGCUGUACCAUCUGUUGUUUCAUGACUCCCUUAUGCCCUUGCGAGCAGCGGCCACCAUUGGGCAGGGACAGAGCCGUUGAGCGCCCUUGCUCGGUGGUCCACCACCCUUCUCGCCUCCCGUUCGACGCCUCUUCUCCACACCCCUUCGUUCGAUGUGCUUCGACUCAUGAUGUACCAGAGUGGAGUCAGUAUAGAUAUCAGAGGUGCACAUGGGGUCCUCUUUAGUUUUUUUUCCUUAAUUGUUAACCAUCUCCAAUUUUAUGUCAACUCUACUUAUUCCAGUUUCAUAGUUGGAGGUAUUAGAUAAUACAUCAAUUUAUAUCUAUCGCCCUAAAGAAAAUGUACAUUGCUGAUACAAAUAAUCUUUAUUUUGUUUACAAACAUGUAAUGAAAUCUACACUACGAAUAAGAAGACUGAAGUAUAGGACGCGCUCAGGGGUGUGCGGCAGCCCAUGGCGGGCAAGGCGUGCUGCAGUGGGGUUAUGGCAGCAUUAUGGUCAUGAGAGAGCUAGCAUGCUCUUUGGUAUAAAUUAGUUACCCUCCUGUGGGGUUAUUUUUUAUUCUAAGUAUUAACAUGCCUUCAAAAUAAUUCUGUAAUAGGUAUAUAAUUGCAGGUUGUUGUGUGAGCUGCACCUAAACUGAGAACUGAAACUGCAAUGAAUUACUUGAAACUUGGUGUCCUUAUAUUUGCCCCAUUUGUUGGGGUUCAGUUUGACUAAAAUGGACAGACCAUGAGCUCCUUUAGGAACUUGUUGGGAAAUGUCGCUUGUGUGGAGAGGCUGGAAAUACGAAGACAAGUAUGUGUUUGAUUAUUUUGAAGCUAUUUAACAUAUUAGUGGUGUCAACGAGGGUAAGUCCAGGUUCCACAUGUCAAGCUAUAUUAGUUUUUUCGCAAAGAAAUUUCUCUUUAUACAACAAGACAAUACUUAUUUGUGAUUUUGCAUGCCGUCGUGGAAUUCUAGCGAACAUGUCAAUUUGUUCGUGAUUUCGGACGUACAGUAUUUGGGUCCCAUGCACGAGGAGACAUUGAUAAGUUAUUUCGGAUAUACAUAUAGACCGAACUAAAUAUGUAUUUAGAGAUUAUAAAAGUGUGUGUUGUUUUGCAAUAGUUUUAACCCACUCAACUGUAUUAUAAAUGUGCAAAAAAAAAUCUGGCCCGGUGGAAAGCAGAGUAUUUAGCUAGGUGAGCUAUAGACCAGGAGCUGGUGGGUGGCAGGGCAAGCACGCCGCUUCUCCUCUCUGUCUCCAGAGAGGCGCGUGCAUCAAAAAAUGAACAUAUCUGAGCCAUGCGCCUUGCUUCUACUGAUUUCUAUAGAGAUUGGCUCGCUUAGAUUUUAGACUGGGCGGUUGCUGUCGAGGUCGCCAAGGUGAUCCUACAGCACUGCCAUGGGGAUUGUUCGUGAUUCUAUCUGGACAAGCGGUGGUGGUGAUUGGCUGGGUGGUGGUGUUGCCUUGGGGAGAGACAAAGUGAAGGUAAACGCAAGCAAGAUCGAUGGUGCUGUCGUGGGGAUAGCCAAAGUCAAGACUUCGACUACGAACUCGUCGCAACGAACCUGGACGCUACGAGCCUGAUUCAUGGACCAAUGGAGGGUCUUGACGCUGUUAGGGUUGGGAUAGGAUGAAUGUGGAGGGUGACGUGCUUGGUUGAGUGCCCCUCGAAGAUUGUGUCCUCCCCGUGGACCUGUUUGUGGCCAUCGUAGAGGAGAUUGUGGCCCUUCCCCGAUGAGCAAGAACAAUGUAGGCGGCACCAGGAGGUAGGGGUGGAUGCGGGGAUGUAUGUUGAUGGUUUCUCGAGGUUGCAAUGUGGAAAGUCAAGAGCACGAAGUCGAAAUCGGAUAGGAGUUUGAGUUCUUGUUGGCCGUGGCUGGCUCCCCACUUUAGUGAUGUAUUUUUUCAGUUUGUUGAAGUUCAGUUUUUUGAACCUAGAGUGCCAUUCGCAACAUGUUUCAGGUGACCCAGAAGUUCCCUUUCAUCAUCAUUUAUAGAGCGUUCAGAGUUCCGAGCUCUGUCGACGUCGCCAGCCUUGUGAAAUGCCAACUGGUCGUCGCUUCUUUCGGUGCUGACGGGAAACACGUAGAUGUUACUGGACUGCAAUUACCCGGCGUGCUGGAUGACAUGUUUGCAUACACAGGACCGCUCAGUGCGGUUUUCAGCGAGGACUCUCUGAGCCUGCACCUUUGGGCUCCUACAACACAGGAUGUGAGUGUGUGGUUCUUAGAUGGUCCGCAGGCCCUGCUCUAGAGAUGGUGCAGCUCAAGGAGUCAAAUGGUAUUUGGAGUGUUACAUGACCAAGAGAGUGGGAAAACCGAUACUAUUUAUAUGAAGUUGACGUGUAUCAUCCAACUAAAGCACAAAUUCUGAAAUGUUUAGCUGGUGACCUUUAUGCUAGAGGGUAUGUGGCUGUGCGCAUUUCAGUUAUGUAGUUCAGGGAGAGGAACUUUCCGCAGAAGAAAAAAAGUUCAGGGAGAGGAAGAAACUAGCUUGUUGUUUAUUUUAUCAGCCUUUCUGCAAAUGGACCGUGGACCUGGUUGGUUGACAUUAACGAUGAAACAUUGAAGCCAGCUUCCUGGGAUGAAUUGGCCGAUGAGAAGCCAAAACUUGAUUCCUGCUCUGACAUAACCAUCUACGAAUUGCACAUUCGUGAUUUUAGUGCCCAUGAUGGCACAGUGGACAUUGACUCUCGUGGAGGAUUUCGUGCAUUUGCAUACUAGGCCUCAGCAGGAAUGUUUGACUCAUGUGCAUUUGUUGCCAAGCUUUCAUUUUGCUGGCGUUGACGACAUUAAGAGCAACUGGAAAUUUUUCGGUAAGAAAAUAUUUCUCUUUAUAAAAGGUGGUAAGGCACUUUUGAGCUUUUGCUAGAUGUCUAUCAUUUUUUUGUUGGAUAGCAAUGAGUGACAACUACUUAUAAGUACUUGGUUUAAACUGCACCUCUUCAUUUUCGUCUCAUUUACUUCAGAUUGACUUAUUUGGUUAUACGGAACUUCAUUUACUCUGGCAAAGGAGUGUGAACUAGCAACAUUCCCUCCAGGGUCAGAUAUGCAACAAGCAGCAGUAGUAGCUAUUCAGGAAGAGGACCCUUAUAAUUGGGGGUAUUCAUUUCACACUUCUUUUUCCCUGAAACAUUCCAGAUACUAAUGUAUCAUGGUGGUGUUAAUAUCGGAAAGUUAAUUAUGUUCUUGCGAGUAAAAUAUUCUUACAUAUGGUCAUAUUUAUGCUAAAGGUAUGACUCUGUGCUUUGGAAGGUUCCAAAAGGAAGUUAUGCAAGUGAUUUCAUCAGGAAAGAGAUGCAGACGAGAGGAAGAGACCUCCCCCAAGCUCUGUCUAGGCGAUGCACGGGCGACGGCCACCCUUCCUAUUAUUGCCUCCAUGGCUGACUGAUCAUCCCCAGUAACCUCCCCCCCCCCCCCCCCCUCACGUGCGCCACACUAUGGGAUUAAGGUCUGCUCCUUGGCUAGCAUUUGCGCUGACCUAUUCUCUGAUUUCUCUCCACCGAAGAAUCAAAGAAACAAGCAAGCUAAUGUCUAACAUAUUUGUUUCGUAAUAGUUGGAACUUGAGGAGGAAGCUCCAGUACAAUUCAGAUCUCUGCUCAAACCCUCAAUAUCCCAUGCAUACAUAAUUGCUUAUUGUGUGAAUAUUAGACGUUACUUGUGCAUCAUCUUCACCCUUUCCCAAUUCAAUAUCUGUAAAAGCAGGCAAAGCUUCAUGUUAUUAUGUGCUAUAAUAUUUUUGAAUUGCUGUCUAGAAAAUACUUGGUCAGUUCUUCCGUAAGAAAGCUGAAGUUGGAUAUUAGGUGCUUUAACAAAGCUACUCCCUCCGUUCACUUUUAUAAGUCAUUUCAGACAACUCAAAAUAAACUACUUUGCACAUUGUCUGAAAUGUCUUCAAGGCCUUAUAAAAGUGAACAGAGGGAGUAAUUCUUUUAAGCAAUUACAUAACCACUGUUAGAUAUAUUAUUCAGAGCUCACUAGGUUCUGAUGCUUUGACGGUACAGUUCCCUGAGCAUGCUUCAACAUCAUUUGUUUCUGCAUAUCGUUAAUCGUGGGCUUUUCAUGAUUUUUUUUUCUGUUUUUAAAGAUUGUCAAAGUACAUGCUGCAAGAUACUGUUGAGUUAAUUAAUUUCCUCGAGUUAAACGAAAAUAUGGAAACUGUCAAGGAUAUGUCGAAUGAUGAAUAUAUUCAGAUACUAAGAGAGGUUCUAAAAUGUGUUUUGGCAGGUUAGUCCUGAUCGUGCUUAUUUUUAAACCCGAAACGUUCUUUAUCAUUGGAGGGUUCUCUAUAAUCCCAUAAUUGUGAAGUCAAUUGCUUAAUUUGAUUGAGAGUACUUAAGUUAAUGCACAUGUUUAUUUUUCUAGAUCGUAUCUUAACUGCUUGGACUCUUCAUGUACACUAAAUGUGAAACUCAUUAUGAUUUGGAAGUGCCUGAUAGCUUGUGACAUAAUUGAUGUAGUUUAUCAAUCAUGCAAUUUGUUGUUAGCAACAUGUACCAGAUUUUGGUAAUUUCCAUUUGAAUAUUGCUUUUUGUUUUCAUAUAUCCUAGAUCAUACUAAGAUACUAAGAAAUUCCUUACUGCAUUAACAUUGGCAUCCAUGGUUACUUUUCUUUGUAUAUGAAAAAUGUAGAUAAAAUGUACAUCCUCUAGCUCUCAUGCGUUUUAGUCUCUCUUUUCUCUUUAUGCUGUAUCACCAAUGGUGCGCGCGCGAGAGAGAGGGAGGGAGGGAGCGAUGGAGAGGGAGAGGGAGAGGGGUCUAAAUGAUUGUAUCCGUACCAGUUUCAUGUUUCCAUGCAUGUCAUUAUACUCAUAGAAAACAGUAUCUUCAUGUGGCAAGUAUCUAAUGCAUAUACAUGAGUUAUAUUAUUUAGUGUUUUCACAUACUAAUAUAUUCAUGGUUUUUUUUGCAUUGUAGAGUGCUAACAUGCUACAUUGGAGAGAAAGCGUUGAGAGAAUGCUUUGUUGGGAUGAUAGACAUGAAUAAUCAAUCCUCAUUCCAAGGUUGCGAGCCGAAUGCGUCAUCGACGAGGAGGUGAGUUUGGAUUGGGACGGCGAAGAGAAGAUAGUUGGGGAGGAAGAAGGUAUAAAAUCAACAAUAUCGUCUGGUGUGCGUGAGGAUCCUAAUGGUACAUGUUUGACGCGAUCGUUGCUAACUAAUAAGAUAUGCUGUGGCGCGAGGUGGUGGCGGCAAUGGGGUGGUUGUGCUGCAUGUCCAAGGCUGCACUAGGGAGGCGCGAGCGGUGCCUCCCGCAAGAUUCCAUUGGGGCGACGCAUGGGCGGCAGCCACCCCCAAGACCCUGUUAGCACAAUUUCAUAACAAUAUAUUUAUACUGAUUGUUGUGCAAAAUAGAACGCUAUUGUUUGUAGUUAUAUUAGUUUAUUUCCUCUAUAUACAAUGACACGUCUUAUUGUGUGUCCAAGAGGAAGGAAAAAAUAUAUAUUUCUAGGUGUUAUGUGACUUACCUUUAAAAGGAAUAACUCUAAUUAGAAGUCCUGUUUUAGAUGCCGAGUUGAUGAAAUUUGUUACCUAAGAUAUAUGUGGUAAUUUGAUAUGAACCCAAAUAUCUUGU